GAGGGUGUACUUUCUUUCUUGUGUGUGUGUGUAUGUAUGUGUGUGUGUUCAUAUAUAUAUAUAUAUAUAUAUAUAUAUAUAUAUGAAAACAUACACACAUACACACACAAGAAAUAAAGUACACCCUA